GUGCUCAUUUCAGCGGCAUAUAUACUAAAAUUGGAAUGAUUCAGAGAAGAUUAGCAUGUCCCCUGUGCAAGGACAAUACACAAAUUUGUGAAGCAUUCCAUAUUUUU
rfam:Tupaia chinensis contig79952, whole genome shotgun sequence.